GCUUACGGCCAUACCACCCUGAGAACGCCCGAUCUCGUCUGAUCUCGGAAGCUAAGCAGGGUCGGGCCUGGUUAGUACUUGGAUGGGAGACCGCCUGGGAAUACCAGGUGUUGUAAGCU
ensembl:rRNA 5S_rRNA 5S ribosomal RNA